CAAUAGCGUAUAUUUAAGUUGUUGCAGUUAAAAAGCUCGUAGUUGGAUUUCGGUUGAGAACGGCCGGUCCGCCGUUUGGUGUGCACUGGCUGGUUUCAACUUCCUGUAGAGGACGUGCUCUGGCUUCACGGCUGGACGCGGAGUCUACGUGAUUACUUUGAAAAAAUUAGAGUGUUCAAAGCGGGCUUACGCUUGAAUAUUUCAGCAUGGAAUAACACUAUAGGACUCCUGUCCUAUUUCGUUGGUCUCGGGACGGGAGUAAUGAUUAAGAGGAACAGUUGGGGGCAUUCGUAUUUCAUUGUCAGAGGUGAAAUUCUUGGAUUUAUGAAAGACGAACUUCUGCGAAAGCAUUUGCCAAGGAUGUUUUCAUUAA
rnacentral:rRNA from 1 species